rnacentral:rRNA from 1 species
UACGUAGGUGGCAAGCGUUGUCCGGAAUUAUUGGGCGUAAAGCGCGCGCAGGUGGUUUCUUAAGUCUGAUGUGAAAGCCCACGGCUCAACCGUGGAGGGUUAUUGGAAACUGGGAAACUUGAGUGCAGGAGAGAAGAGUGGAAUUCCACGUGUAGCGGUGAAAUGCGUAGAGAUGUGGAGGAACACCAGUGGCGAAGGCGACUCUUUGGCCUGUAACUGACACUGAGGCGCGAAAGCGUGGGGAGCAAACAGG